GCAAGGUCCCUGUUCUUAUGGAGCUAGCACUGAGGUGCAAGCCCAGAGGCAGUCUAUACCCCAACUCAACUGGCUGGUCCUCAGUGCUGCCUGCUUCUGUGCCCAACUUAGAACUACACAUCUGCUGCCUCUUGGUAACAUGUCAUAAGGCUUCUUCAUCAGCCCUAACCCUGCCAACCACUCCUGCCUCACUGAAUGUGCCAACGGAUUGCUCAGCUCCAACCAAGGAAAAGAAGAAGGAAGUUGGAUACUUUAUACCCUCUACAUUGUCCAUUAGCAACACAACCUAGAGCUAGGAUGGAGAAAGAAAAUGCCAAAAUGCUAAUGAAAAAUGUUCAGAUGUAUCACAUAUUAAGCAUACAUGAUCUCAAAUAUUUUG
rnacentral:lncRNA from 1 species